rnacentral:rRNA from 1 species
GCAUAUCAAUAAGCGGAGGAAAAGAAAAUAACAAUGAUUCCCUCAGUAACGGCGAGCGAAGAGGGAUAAGCUCAAAUUUUAAAUCUGUUGGGUUUCACCUAACAGAGUUGUAUUUUGAAGAAACGUUUUCUGCGUCCAGGAUUAGCCUAAAUCCUUUGGGAUAAGGUAUCAUGGAGGGUGAGAAUCCCGUUCAUGGUUAAUCUUAAGGAUGCUCUACGAUACGUUCUCCAAGAGUCGAGUUGUUUGGGAUUGCAGCUCAAAAUGGGAGGUAAAUUUCUCCUAAGGCUAAAUAUUGGCGAGAGACCGAUAGCGAACAAGUACCGUGAGGGAAAGAUGAAAAGAACUUUGAAAAGAGAGUUAAACAGUACGUGAAAUUGUUGAAAGGGAAACGAUUGAAGUCAGUCAUACUAACGGGAAAUCAACCUCUUGAGUUUGGUCUCGUGGGUUUCGAAGAGUUUUAAAAGCCUUCGAAUUUUCAAGAUUGGGCUCUUCUGGUGUACUUUCUCGUACGGUUAGUCAACAUCGGUUUUGAAUGUCAUAAAAUGACUGGAGGAAGGUGGCUUCAAUCUCGUAUUGAAGUGUUAUAGCCUUUGGUAAAUGUGAUGUUUGAAAUCGAGGAUUGCAACGGAUACCCUUCUGGGCUAUUCGUCUGAUCUCUGAAACGUUGCCUUGAUGUCAAAAGCUGGCUUAUGAUGUUAGGGUAUUACGGUCAAAAGGUUAGAACGGAUUAAAUUCGUUAAGGAUGUUGACGUAUUGGCUUUAAACGAC